rnacentral:rRNA from 1 species
AGUGAACGCUGGCGGUAGGCCUAACACAUGCAAGUCGAACGGCAGCACAGUAAGAUCUUGCUCUUACGGGUGGCGAGUGGCGGACGGGUGAGGCAUACAUCGGAAUCUACUUUUUCGUGGGGGAUAACGUAGGGAAACUUACGCUAAUACCUCAUACGAUCUACGGCUUAAAGCAGGGGAUCUUCGGACCUUUCGCGAUUGAAUGAGCUGAUGUCGGAUUAGCUAGUUGGCGGGGUAAAGGCCCACCAAGGCAACGAUCCGUAGCUGGUCUGAGAGGAUGAUCAGCCACACUGGAACUGAGACACGGUCCAGACUCCUACGGGAGGCAGCAGUGGGGAAUAUUGGACAAUGGGCGCAAGCCUGAUCCAGCCAUACCGCGUGAGUGAAGAAGGCCUUCGGGUUGUAAAGCCCUUUUAUUGGGAAAGAAAAACAGCAGAUUAAUACCCCGCUGUUCUGACGGUACCCAAAGAAUAAGCACCGGCUAACUUCGUG